rnacentral:rRNA from 1 species
AUGUCCACUAGCUCAGCGCCGCCGCCGCCGCUCACUCUGCAGGCCGCCACCGUCGCCACCGGGCACCGGAUCUGCGGGCCGCCGCUCCCUCCACAGGCUCCCACUAGCUUGCCGCGCCGUUUCCUCUGCGGGGCGCUCCCACUAUCUCCGCGCCGCUGCUCCCUCUGUGGGCCGCCGCCGCUGCUCUCUCCGCAGGCUGCCAUCUUCGUCGCCGGGCACUGGAUCUGCAGGCCUCCGCCGCUCCCUCUGCUCAGGCCGCCAAACCCACUCCUUCCGCUUCCUCCGCAGGCCGCGGUCGCUGCUCCCUCCGCAGGCCAUCCCGACGAGGUGCAGUUGGCCGGCCGAGGAGCUUGA